ensembl:lncRNA
AUGCCAAACAAAGAGAGCAAGAGACAAUCUACUGAACCAGGAGAGAAACAGACACGGAGACUAACCAGAACAAACAGCAUCAAUAGUGGAAAACCAAACUUUUCUGAUGAUCCAGACAGUUUUAUUCAGAGAGACUCUCAGACGAGACAGGAGCAGCUCCUUUCACCAGACCAGCAGAAUAUACUUUAUAUUCAGUCUCUAACUAAACACUGCUUUUUUUUAGAUAGUUUGUUGUAUUUUUGUGUUACUGUAUAUUCAAAAUAUUAUAGACCUACUGUAUAUAACAAGCCAAUAUCAACUAAUAUCAACUUCAUUCACUGUACAAUUUUACACUGUAUAAAACUAAGAACUGGAGCAUUAUCUGGAAUACUAUUGUUGAAAUUUACUAGCAAUUUGUUUUACUGUAUGAUGCUAUGUUUCUAAAACUAUUACAAUAUUUCAUAGUGACAAAAAUGUAUGUUUAAAAAAAAGUGUAUUUUAUAAAACUAAUUUUAUGAUUUUUAUUGCAAUACAUCUGUAUAUACUGAUAAAAAAUAAAAUAUUUUUCUCUUCAAUAUUUUGAUUUUGUUGUAUUGUCUCUUUUAAUGGUCAAAGACAAGUAAGGGGAAGAAAUGUGUUAAAAUUGAUUAGUCCCUUUUAAUUCUUUGAUUCAUCACAUGCUGAAUAGGGAUUCUGGAAAACUGUGUUAUUCUGAAAAACAGGUGGUGGGAUGAGUCACUGAGGAUUCACUCAGAAAGUUCAGGAUUUUUCUCUAACUUACCAGUAUUAAA